rfam:Oryza rufipogon genomic scaffold, chr06
AAAAAGACAAACCCUGGUUUUCCGUGCUAACGUUUGACUGUCCGUUUUAUAUAAAAUUUUUUUAUAAUUAGUAUUUUUAUUGUUGUUACAUGAUAAAACAUGAUUAAUACUUUAUACGUGACUUAUCUUUUUAAUUUUUUUCAUAAUUUUUUUAAAUAAGAUGAACAGUUAAACAUUGGAUAUGGAAAUCAGGGUUUGUCUUUUU